AGCAGCCGCGGUAAUUCCAGCUCCAAUAGCGUAUAUUAAAGUUGUUGCAGUUAAAAAGCUCGUAGUUGAAUUUCGGGAUCAGUAGGUCGGUCAUGCCUAUGGUAUGUACUGGUCUCACUGGUUCCUCCUUCCUGAUGAACCGUAAUGCCAUUAAUUUGGUGUUGCGGGGAAACUGGACUGUUACUUUGAAAAAAUUAGAGUGUUUAAAGCAGGCUAACGCUUGAAUACAUUAGCAUGGAAUAAUGAAAUAGGACGAUCGAUCCUAUUUUGUUGGUUUCUAGGAUUGACGUAAUGAUUAAUAGGGAUAGUUGGGGGCAUUAGUAUUCAAUUGUCAGAGGUGAAAUUCUUGGAUUUAUUGAAGACUAACUACUGCGAAAGCAUUUGCCAAGGAUGUUUUCAUUAAUCAAGAACGAAAGUUAGGGGAUCGAAGACGAUCAGAUACCGUCGUAG
rnacentral:rRNA from 1 species